UACUUUUGUAUUUGACCACGUAAGACAAUUGGAUGGGCACCUAAUAUAUUUCCUGGUACACUCCUAUUGUGGUUGGUCUUCUUUAUCUGUAUGUCUAUCUUGUUCAGUCUGCGCUUCAGCUUUGCAGGAAAAUAGAAAUUUUUUUUUCUGUGCUUGUUUAUGCUAACCAUGGUGCCUACAACUGCAUCUGCUGCCUUUACACGGGACUGCAAACCUGUUUUUUUCAACCUUCUGUUUUAUGGGUGUGCACACCCAUAAAUCUCCUGUGGCUGGGUUAAGGGAACAUACAAGCAGCUCUUCAGCAUUAAGAAUGUGAUGGGAGAGAUUCAGGUAGAUUUGAACUGCCAUCAUCAAUCAAGACCAAGGAGAAGGCUGCUUUCCAGGAUGUACACAUGGCCUCUGUUUGCUGUUGCUGUUUUGCUUCUUUUAAGAGGUGAACCAAUAUAUGUAUGUCUGUUUCUACUGUCACUUGCAGCUCAACAGAACCCUGUAAUAUACAUGAACAAGUUUCUGGAAGUUAAGAGAAUCAUUGGUACCUGAUCAAGCAAAUACAACCAAAGCACGGUUGCCAAGUGCUGAUGGAAUAAGGAAAAUGGAAGCAGAGAUUCUUGGGCAGUGAGGCUGUCCUGACUGGGAGGCUGAAUUGUCAAGGAUGUCUAGCACACAUAUUGAGAUGACCCAUCUCUCUGUAAACCUAGUACAGAUUAACUUUGUACACAUACUCAUCUACACAAUAAAAAAAACUGAUAGCUCUCAAUAAUUGAAUAUUCAUUUAAAAAUUUCCCUGGAUGGAUUUACUCAGUAUAAAUAAGUUCAGUAUAAAUAAGCUCAGGGAAGAAGGAAUCUCAACUUCUUCAUGCAGUGUUUUUCAAAGAGAAUAAAAGUCAUAAAGAAGUUUGCAUACAUGCAGAAUAUUAGAAACCUUUAGAUCAGGCUAGAGAUGGUUACCAUGAGGCAUGCAAUUUUUGGUUCUCUAUCUUGGUUGAAGUCACUAUGUAGAUAUUAAAAAUGGCAGUGCUUAGAGUGUGGCUUUGAAUCUUAUGAUUUAUUUCUUUCUUAGAUAUUUUCUUCAGGAGUUUUCCCAUGUGCAAUCAGUAUACUUGCCACUUUUCAAAAUUUAUUAAAACAGGGUCCUUGUAUGGUUUCAGCACUCUGUCCCACACAAUUAGUAGUAAUUUUUAUUUUCCAUUAUAGAGCCAUUGAUUACUUUUCCACAUCAGUCUCUAACUGAACUAGACAUUAAAAGUGAAUUCUUGUUGAGUCACACAAAGCAACAUUGAGAGUUAUUUCGCAGCAAAGCUUUGGUGAUGUUGACCUUAUUUAUUGCUCAAUGUAAAACUUAAUGUAAAACUCAGUAUGGUCAGUUUCAUAAAAAUCAGGGCAAGACUGCAGACAGACUGCUUGAUUCAUUCCUUACCACAAGGAAUGGACAUGUAUUUUCAAUUCCAAGUAAGCAGUUAACAUCUGUAUGUUAUGGCCUUUCCAAAAACCUGACAGGAAUGUCAUCAAUGAAACUGAGAAGAAAAUAUUUUUGACAGACUUUUUCUUUGGCUUUCAUUUUAUUCCACUUGCCAAAUUCAAAAAGAAAAAAAAAUUCUUUCCUGUACUUUCCAGAUAUUUACUUUAUUUAAAGAAUGAGGAAAUAUGGGAUCAAUGGCAAAAGACAGGGUUGCAAAAUGAGCUGCUGUAAUAAUCAAAAUUAAGGGAUAACUUAUAGUCUUGGCCACAACCAUUACCUAGGGUACUGAGUUAACCUUGAAAUAAUAGAAGAAACUAAGGGAAGGAUUUUUAACAAUAGCUACAAUCCCCUGUACUAUUUGACAACUUAAAUGUGUCAAAUUUAUAUUUUCCAGGGUGUAAGUUUGAGCAACCUGUGUGUGUGUGAUUCAGGGUACAACAUCACCAAAUUAUUCUUCAUCUUAAUGAGAUUAACCUCAUAAUCUAUAAAAAGGAAACUUUGUUUUUCUGUUAUAUACUGUGACUAGGCUCAGAGUAAAAGAUCCUUAUGAGUUUAACCUCAUAACUACAUUGCCCUACAUUGCCAUACAUUGCCAUCAGGAAGCUGCCAAAUAGCUACUAAGUAUAAGAGCUAGAAUGUGAACCCAAGUCUUAUUUAACUCCUUAACUCCAGAGUCUUUCUGUGUAAUGACUACACAAUCCAAAUUCAUAAGGAAAAGUGAAAGAUGUUUCCUAAUAUGUAAUGUGACCAGGGGAUGUGUGUUAAUCAAUAGCCUACCAACCAAGUCUCCCAAAUCUCCUCUGCUACUCUUUUCAUUCAUCCAGGAUAUUAACAUUCAUUCAUUACAUUGAAGCAAAAAUAGGCUUACAAAUAGGCACAUCAAACAAUUUUACUCUUCUGUUUUCUUUGUAAUUUCUUCUUAUGAAAAAUUUCAACCAUAUCCAAAAGUAAACAAUUACAUAAGGAAUUCCCUUGUGCACAGCUUCCAAUUCAUGGUCAAUCUUCCCUUCCUGUUUCAUAUUAUUUGAAAACAAAUUUCACUCAAUAUGACAUUUCAUCUAUAAAUAUUUCUAUAGUUGUAUUUCUAAAGUUGUAUUUCUAUAAUAUAAAGACUUAAAAUCAUAGCAACAAUAUCAAUAUGAACCUAAAUAAAUUAUAUUUCUUUAAUAUCAUAAAGUAUCUUAUCAGUGUUCAAAUUACCCUGAUUGUCUCAAAAUUUAUUUUUAAAAGUUGAUUAGUUUGAUACAGGAUCAAGUAAGUUCCAUACCUUAUUGCUAAUUUGUAUGUGUCUU
rnacentral:lncRNA from 1 species